UACACUGCAUGUGUUCCCAACAUACCGAGGCUGUCAAAGAUGGCUGUUUGAGAGUAAUUAAGCCUCAUUAGGAAAAGCUGUUUUUAAUUUGCUCUCAUUAAAAACACCCUUUUGCACCCUUGCGUGUCUUUCAUCCAAUGCAUCUGCUGACUUUCUACUCCCUCCUUGCUGCGCUUCGGCUUUGGGAAGAAGACUUGCUUGGUUGACUACAUUAAGGCAAUCCAGACAACAUCAACCUCAGCAACAAUAACAAUGAAGGCUCCUGCCCAAGCAGUGUCGAAGAAGAAGAGGUGUUGCGCUCGCUCCGCUCUCAGAGCUCAGCAAGAGGUCACGGCAGUCAGGAUGGGGGCUCUGGAUUUCCUGCUCGGUCGUCACAAUUUACCCAGACCACUUGUGCUUGGACUGGUGAGCUUGGAAGCUUCCAGGCUCUCGAGAACAAAGCGACACAAAGUGAUCACCCAGCACGAGAUCAACGCUGCUGUCACACUCGUCCGACACAAGAUUUGUACCAAGGUUGCAGCAUGAAUUUUUUAAUGCCAUUUGACUAUUUAUUAUUAAAGAGUAUUUUAAUUAA